UAACUACGCAGGACUGACCCACCAAGGGAGC
rnacentral:piRNA from 1 species